rnacentral:sRNA from 1 species
CUGAAGCGGAAGUGGAGAAAAGAUGGAGGACCAUCAGCACGUGCCCAUCGACAUCCAGACCAGCAAGCUGCUCGAUUGGCUGGUGGACAGAAGGCACUGCAGCCUGAAAUGGCAGAGUCUGGUGCUGACGAUCCGCGAGAAGAUCAAUGCUGCCAUCCAGGACAUGCCAGAGAGCGAAGAGAUCGCCCAGCUGCUGUCUGGGUCCUACAUUCACUACUUUCACUGCCUAAGAAUCCUGGACCUUCUCAAAGGCACAGAGGCCUCCACGAAGAAUAUUUUUGGCCGAUACUCUUCACAGCGGAUGAAGGAUUGGCAGGAGAUUAUAGCCCUGUAUGAGAAGGACAACACCUACUUAGGUAAAGUGGCCCGGCCUGGGAGCCCUGGUAUCCAUGGGGAAGCCCACUCUCAGAGUUCUGAGAUACCAGGCUUAUAGGAGGCACAGUCUGUGAGUGGGAAGAGACUGGAGUGUAGAUGUUGCCUGUUUGUAGGUGGUAAAAUCAAUUGUUUUUGAUGGAAUUGAUUUUCCCUGGGUGGAGUGCUGGGGGAAGGAGGAGGUCCAGGCCGGUAGUGGGCAUUCGCCGUGCCUCAGCGAGCAGGUGUGUGUGGGUCCUCCACCACUCACCUCUUGGUUAGCGGGAGUGUGCUGCCCCCACCCCCACCCCCGCAUCCCCAUUCUACACAAGGCAGAAGAGGCACGGGUUUUCCUGGGAGCGAAUAUCAAGUGCCUGAGAGAGAGCAACUACAGGACUAACUGUGUUUGGGUUGGGUGUAGUAUAAAUAAUAAUAAUGGCUAAUAUUUACUGAGCAUCUACUAAAUGCAAGGAAUUGUGCUUGGUGUGUCAUGGGGAUUCUCUCUUGCAUCUUCAUGAUAAAUGUUAUUGUCGCUGUUUUACCGAUGAGGGUUGGAUUAGAGGGGUUAAACAACUUGUCUUAGGCUCCACAGCUGGGAACAAGUGGGGCUGGGAAGCUGACUUCGUGCUCUUCACCACCACAAAGGGUGUGUGUGCAUCCUGGGGCAUGCCUGCCUCAUGUGGGGGUGUCCUGGGCUGAAUUUCCUGGGCACUUCUCAGUGGAACUCUCUAGCCUCCUGGUUCGGAAUGUCAACUAUGAGAUCCCCUCACUGAAGAAGCAGAUUGCCAAGUGCCAGCAGCUGCAACAAGAAUACAGCCGCAAGGAGGAGGAGUGCCAGGCAGGGGCUGCCGAGAUGCGGGAGCAGUUCUACCACUCCUGCAAGCAGUAUGGCAUCAUGGGCGAAAAUGUCCGAGGAGAACUGCUGGCCCUGGUGAAGGACCUGCCGAGUCAGCUGGCUGAGAUUGGGGCAGCGGCUCAGCAGUCCCUGGGGGAAGCCAUUGACGUGUACCAGGCAUCUGUGGGGUUUGUGUGUGAGAGCCCCACAGAGCAGGUGUUGCCAAUGCUGCGGUUCGUGCAGAAGCGGGGAAACUCAACGGUGUACGAGUGGAGGACAGGGACAGAGCCCUCUGUGGUGGAACGACCCCACCUCGAGGAGCUUCCUGAGCAGGUGGCAGAAGAUGCGAUUGACUGGGGCGACUUUGGGGUAGAGGCAGUGUCUGAGGGGACUGACUCUGGCAUCUCUGCUGAGGCUGCUGGAAUCGACUGGGGCAUCUUCCCGGAAUCAGAUUCAAAGGAUCCUGGAGGUGAUGGGAUAGACUGGGGAGACGAUGCUGUUGCUUUGCAGAUCACAGUGCUGGAAGCAGGAACCCAGGCUCCAGAAGGUGUUGCCAGGGGCCCAGAUGCCCUGACACUGCUUGAAUACACUGAGACCCGGAAUCAGUUCCUUGAUGAGCUCAUGGAGCUUGAGAUCUUCUUAGCCCAGAGAGCAGUGGAGUUGAGUGAGGAGGCAGAUGUCCUGUCUGUGAGCCAGUUCCAGCUGGCUCCAGCCAUCCUGCAGGGCCAGACCAAAGAGAAGAUGGUUACCAUGGUGUCAGUGCUGGAGGAUCUGAUUGGCAAGCUUACCAGUCUUCAGUUGCAACACCUGUUUAUGAUCCUGGCCUCACCAAGGUAUGUGGACCGAGUGACUGAAUUCCUCCAGCAAAAGCUGAAGCAGUCCCAGCUGCUGGCUUUGAAGAAAGAGCUGAUGGUGCAGAAGCAGCAGGAGGCACUUGAGGAGCAGGCGGCUCUGGAGCCUAAGCUGGACCUGCUACUGGAGAAGACCAAGGAGCUGCAGAAGCUGAUUGAAGCUGACAUCUCCAGGAGGUACAGUGGGCGCCCUGUGAACCUGAUGGGAACCUCUCUGUGACACCCUCCGUGUUCUUGCCUGCCCAUCUUCUCCGCUUUUGGGAUGAAGAUGAUAGCCAGGGCUGUUGUUUUGGGGCCCUUCAAGGCAAAAGACCAGGCUGACUGGAAGAUGGAAAGCCACAGGAAGGAAGCGGCACCUGAUGGUGAUCUUGGCACUCUCCGUGUUCUCUACAAGAAGCUGUGGUGAUUGGCCCUGUGGUCUAUCAGGCGAAAACCACAGAUUCUCCUUCUAGUUAGUAUAGCGGACUUAAUAAAAGAGGAAAAAAC